CAUUCCUCUCUUUGGUUAGGUUUUUUAUUCCUAAGUAUUUUAUUUUUUCAAUGCUACCCCCAACAGUAUUUUUUAAAGAGUUUGGAAAGGAUCUUUUCUGUUUUGGAGGCAUGGGGUGAGGUGGAGUUGUCAAGGGAGAGAGUUGGGACUGGGUGUCAUGCAGCCCAGACUGACCGCACAUUUUGUAGCCCAGGAUGACUUUAAUCUCCAGAUCUCCCUGUUUCUGCCUCCUAAAUGCCAGGGUUAUAUGCGUAUGCCACCAUGCUGGCUGUUACCCAGUUCUUCCUGUCCCACAUCUAAAGUCCAUUAAAGAAAAACAACUGGCAGGCUCUAUUCUUCACGCCGGAAGCUUCCCUUUGGAGUCAAGCCGCCUGGGGUACUGUCCAGUCUCUGUGGGUCAGCUUACCAUCUCAGCUCUGCACUCUCUCGGUGGGCCUUCAACUGCUCAGUGGUGGCAGCCCCAGGGACUGUGGACUGUAACUCAGUGACGAUGUGUUGCCUGGUAUACACAAAGCCUUCAGUUCCAUCACCAGCACCAAAAAGAAAACAGAAAAAACCCUCAAAUGUGAGGACAUGCUCAGACCCUUCCACCAGGCCUUCCCAAGACCCAACCCGUCUUCACCAGAACUUUCUGAAGAUUGUGCCGCUGACCAGUCCAGGGGACCACCCUGUCAAAUGCUGCCCUCAUCCUCAUUCAGAGAAAUUUCUUUUCAUUGACCGUCGGUGAAUGCUGAGGCUUGUGGCUACACAACAUGUGGAGAAUAAAUGGUGGUUAGUGCUUAGCCCUAAAAAAGACAUGUGUGCCUUCCACUAGAAGGUUCAGGGAACAGUGCAGAGAGGGGGUUGGAAAGAAUCUAAGAGCUGGAAGAUAGGAAGCAGACUUGAGAAAGGCCAUCUUCUAGGCAAGACAUAACUGCUGCAGUCAUGAACUCACACCAUCUAUGCAUGCCUGCACUGAAAUCAUGAACUCACAGCAUCUAUGCAUGCCUGCCCUGCAAUCAUGAACUCACGGCAUCUAUGCAUGCCUGCAAUGUUUCUGCAGAAGUACUGGCUGGUCAGCAGACAGGCAUGGGUGGGAAGGAGAGGUUCAGGGGACCCACUCUCACUACUGAACAGAUACAGAUAGAAGCAGAAAGGCAGGGAGCCAUUGCCUUUAGCUGUGUGCCAUUGGA